AUUGAACGCUGGCGGCAGGCCUAACACAUGCAAGUCGAGCGGAUGAGAGGAGCUUGCUCUUCGAUUCAGCGGCGGACGGGUGAGUAAUGCCUAGGAAUCUGCCCAGUAGUGGGGGACAACGUUUCGAAAGGAACGCUAAUACCGCAUACGUCCUACGGGAGAAAGUGGGGGAUCUUCGGACCUCACGCUAUUGGAUGAGCCUAGGUCGGAUUAGCUAGUUGGUAGGGUAAAGGCCUACCAAGGCGACGAUCCGUAACUGGUCUGAGAGGAUGAUCAGUCAAACUGGAACUGAGACACGGUCCAGACUCCUACGGGAGGCAGCAGUGGGGAAUAUUGGACAAUGGGCGCAAGCCUGAUCCAGCCAUGCCGCGUGUGUGAAGAAGGCCCUCGGGUCGUAAAGCACUUUAAGUUGGGAGGAAGGGCUUACAGCGAAUACCUGUGAGUUUUGACGUUACCGACAGAAUAAGCACCGGCUAACUUCGUGCCAGCAGCCGCCGUAA
rnacentral:rRNA from 1 species